rnacentral:rRNA from 1 species
CGUGUAGGCGGUUCGUUAAGUCGGGUGUGAAAGCCCGGAGCUCAGCUCCGGAAGUGCGCCCGAAACUGGCGAGCUGGAGCGCGGUAGAGGAGGGUGGAAUUCCUGGUGUAGCGGUGAAAUGCGUAGAUAUCAGGAGGAACACCGGCGGCGAAGGCGGCCCUCUGGACCGUUGCUGACGCUGAGACGCGAAAGCGUGGGGAGCAAACA